rnacentral:tRNA from 8 species
GCCUCGUUAGUGCUAAUGGUUAACACAUAUCCUUGGUACGGAUAUAAAGAGAGUUCGAUUCUCUCACGAGGCUC